GGACGGAUAGCUCAGUUGGUUAGAGCACCGUGCUUAUGCCACGGGGGUCGGGAGUUCAACUCUCCCUUCGUCCA
rnacentral:tRNA from 1 species